GAGUUUGAUCCUGGCUCAGAUUGAACGCUGGCGGCAGGCCUAACACAUGCAAGUCGAGCGGAUGAAGGGAGCUUUGCUCCUGGAUUCAGCGGCGGACGGGUGAGUAAUGCCUAGGAAUCUGCCUGGUAGUGGGGGAGUAACGUCCGGAAACGGGCGCUAAUACCGCAUACGUCCUGAGGGAGAAAGUGGGGGAUCUUCGGACCUCACGCUAUCAGAUGAGCCUAGGUCGGAUUAGCUAGUUGGUGGGGUAAAGCCUACCAAGGCGACGAUCCGUAACUGGUCUGAGAGGAUGAUCAGUCACACUGGAACUGAGACACGGGUCCAGACUCCUAC
rnacentral:rRNA from 1 species